GGGAGCCAGCACACCUGGGUUCCAGCCCCGGUUCCUUUGCUUCUGGCACUGACAACGCUGGCAGCCCUCCUGGAGCCUGUUCUCCGCCUGAAAAACAGAGAUAGUGUUACCUAUUUUUGUCUGAUUCACCAAAUGAGAACCACAUGGGCUGGAGAGCCGGCUCCAGGCCUCGAGCCCUGACUGACCACAGGGCCCAGUGCAAUCACUGCCUGCCCAAGGCUGGCGCUGCUUGGCUGUGAGGCUGGUGUCUGCAAGCUGCCUGCCUUCUUCAUGAUACUUUCGGUGAAGAUACCCAGACCGCCCUAGUCAAGGUGUGACCUGUGAACUCUCUGCCUGGGAAUCUGAAUCCUGAGCAGAGUGAUGCUGAGACAGAAAACAGUGGGUGCAGAUCCAUUCCAACGAGCUUUCUGAGGACGCUGUCCCCCGAUUCCUCCUACCGAGAUCCCCGGAACUGCUCUGGGAUCCUCCUUCCCAGGGCUCCUCAGCAGCUUUCCCUUCGAUUCUGUGAGCUAACCCGUGUCCUUCCAACAAACUUUUUUUAUAUUUAACUGGGCAGAGUUUGUUUUCACUGCUUGCAGUCAAACCCUAGAGGUGGUUGGACUUCAACCAUGGUGGUGGGUGCAAACCAAACUAGCAGAAAAAGAAGUAACUGUGGAAAAGGUUG
rnacentral:lncRNA from 1 species